AAAGGUGCAUGAGUGGUGUUUGGUUUGUUACGGGUGGUUGGCUCUUUGCUUGCGCAACAACUUCCACCUGGCAUACCUCUUCAGUCUUGUGUCAAUGCUUGUAUUGCAUUGAAUGCACGGUGGGUUUCUUGUGUUGCAUGCCUAAUUGAUGGUAUCAUUUGAUGAAUUGAUGUCUAUUUCGUCUUGUGUCGCACAUGCGAUGUGAGAUGAACCUUAAAGCAGCCUUUGUGAUCCACUCUUUUGAUGCACACGCAUUGAUUUUGUGGCCCAUUGAGUGUUGCUUGGUCUCAUGGAUAUGGAACCUUGUGUGGGCAUGGGAUCUUUUACUAGUUCCUUGUUUGCCCUAGUUAAGCUUUUCAAAUACGAUUUCCUAUCAUGUGU
rnacentral:misc_RNA from 1 species